GGGCGUUAAGUUGCAGGGUAUAGACCCGAAACCCGGUGAUCUAGCCAUGGGCAGGUUGAAGGUUGGGUAACACUAACUGGAGGACCGAACCGACUAAUGUUGAAAAAUUAGCGGAUGACCUGUGGCUGGGGGUGAAAGGCCAAUCAAACCGGGAGAUAGCUGGUUCUCCCCGAAAGCUAUUUAGGUAGCGCCUCGUGAAUUCAUCUCCGGGGGUAGAGCACUGUUUCGGCUAGGGGGUCAUCCCGACUUACCAACCCGAUGCAAACUGCGAAUACCGGAGAAUGUUAUCACGGGAGACACACGGCGGGUGCUAACGUCCGUCGUGAAGAGGGAAACAACCCAGACCGCCAGCUAAGGUCCCAAAGUCAUGGUUAAGUGGGAAACGAUGUGGGAAGGCCCAGACAGCCAGGAUGUUGGCUUAGAAGCAGCCAUCAUUUAAAGAAAGCGUAAUAGCUCACUGGUCGAGUCGGCCUGCGCGGAAGAUGUAACGGGGCUAAACCAUGCACCGAAGCUGCGGCAGCGACACUCAGGUGUUGUUGGGUAGGGGAGCGUUCUGUAAGCCUGCGAAGGUGGCCUGUGAGGGUUGCUGGAGGUAUCAGAAGUGCGAAUGCUGACAUAAGUAACGAUAAAGCGGGUGAAAAGCCCGCUCGCCGGAAGACCAAGGGUUCCUGUCCAACGUUAAUCGGGGCAGGGUGAGUCGACCCCUAAGGCGAGGCCGAAAGGCGUAGUCGAUGGGAAACGGGUUAAUAUUCCCGUACUUGGUGUUACUGCGAAGGGGGGACGGAGAAGGCUAUGUUGGCCGGGCGACGGUUGUCCCGGUUUAAGCGUGUAGGUGUGUGUUCCAGGUAAAUCCGGUUCACUUUAACACUGAGGCGUGACGACGAGGCACUACGGUGCUGAAGCAACAAAUGCCCUGCUUCCAGGAAAAGCCUCUAAGCAUCAGGUAACAUCAAAUCGUACCCCAAACCGACACAGGUGGUCAGGUAGAGAAUACCAAGGCGCUUGAGAGAACUCGGGUGAAGGAACUAGGCAAAAUGGUGCCGUAACUUCGGGAGAAGGCACGCUGACACGUAGGUGAAGUGAUUUACUCACGGAGCUGAAGUCAGUCGAAGAUACCAGCUGGCUGCAACUGUUUAUUAAAAACACAGCACUGUGCAAACACGAAAGUGGACGUAUACGGUGUGACGCCUGCCCGGUGCCGGAAGGUUAAUUGAUGGGGUCAGCGCAAGCGAAGCUCCUGAUCGAAGCCCCGGUAAACGGCGGCCGUAACUAUAACGGUCCUAAGGUAGCGAAAUUCCUUGUCGGGUAAGUUCCGACCUGCACGAAUGGCGUAAUGAUGGCCAGGCUGUCUCCACCCGAGACUCAGUGAAAUUGAACUCGCUGUGAAGAUGCAGUGUACCCGCGGCAAGACGGAAAGACCCCGUGAACCUUUACUAUAGCUUGACACUGAACAUUGAGCCUUGAUGUGUAGGAUAGGUGGGAGGCUUUGAAGCGUGGACGCCAGUCUGCGUGGAGCCGACCUUGAAAUACCACCCUUUAAUGUUUGAUGUUCUAACGUGGACCCGUGAUCCGGGUUGCGGACAGUGUCUGGUGGGUAGUUUGACUGGGGCGGUCUCCUCCUAAAGAGUAACGGAGGAGCACGAAGGUUGGCUAAUCCUGGUCGGACAUCAGGAGGUUAGUGCAAUGGCAUAAGCCAGCUUGACUGCGAGCGUGACGGCGCGAGCAGGUGCGAAAGCAGGUCAUAGUGAUCCGGUGGUUCUGAAUGGAAGGGCCAUCGCUCAACGGAUAAAAGGUACUCCGGGGAUAACAGGCUGAUACCGCCCAAGAGUUCAUAUCGACGGCGGUGUUUGGCACCUCGAUGUCGGCUCAUCACAUCCUGGGGCUGAAGUAGGUCCCAAGGGUAUGGCUGUUCGCCAUUUAAAGUGGUACGCGAGCUGGGUUUAGAACGUCGUGAGACAGUUCGGUCCCUAUCUGCCGUGGGCGCUGGAGAACUGAGGGGGGCUGCUCCUAGUACGAGAGGACCGGAGUGGACGCAUCACUGGUGUUCGGGUUGUCAUGCCAAUGGCACUGCCCGGUAGCUAAAUGCGGAAGAGAUAAGUGCUGAAAGCAUCUAAGCACGAAACUUGCCCCGAGAUGAGUUCUCCCUGAGACUUA
rnacentral:rRNA from 1 species